GACGAACGCUGGCGGCGUGCUUAACACAUGCAAGUCGAACGGAAAGGCCUUUUCGGAGGUACUCGAGUGGCGAACGGGUGAGUAACACGUGGGUGAUCUGCCCUGCACUCUGGGAUAAGCCUGGGAAACUGGGUCUAAUACCGGAUAGGACCGCACUUUAGUGUGUGUGGUGGAAAGUUUUUUCGGUGUAGGUUGAGCCCGCGGCCUAUCAGCUUGUUGGUGGGGUAAUGGCCUACCAAGGCGGCGACGGGUAGCCGGACUGAGAGGUUGGUCGGCCACAUUGGGACUGAGGUACGGCCCAGACUCCUACGGGAGGCAGAAGGGGGGAAGAUUGCACAAGGGGCGCAAGCCUGAUGCAGCGACGCCGCGUGGGGGAUGACGGCCUUCGGGUUGUAAACUCCUUUCGCCAGGGACGAAGCGUUUUGUGACGGUACCUGGAGAAGAAGCACCGGCUAACUACGUG
rnacentral:rRNA from 1 species